rnacentral:rRNA from 1 species
GAUUAACGCUGGCGGCGUGCAUAACACAUGCAAGUCGAACGAUGAAACUCAUUAGAUUUCUUCGGAAUGAAAAUGAAUGGAUUAGUGGCGAACGGGUGAGUAACGCGUGAGUAACCUGCCUUACACAAGGGGAUAGCCUCUGGAAACGGAGAAUAAUACCCUAUGAAACCAGACAAUCGCAUGAUAAUCUGGUCAAAAUGUUUAGUGGUGUAAGAUGGACUUGCGUCUGAUUAGCUAGUUGGUGAGAUAAAAGCUCACCAAGGCAACGAUCAGUAGCCGGCUUGAGAGAGUGUACGGCCUCAUUGGGACUGAGACACGGCCCAGACUCCUACGGGAGGCAGCAGUGGGGAAUUUUGCACAAUGGGGGAAACCCUGAUGCAGCGACGCCGCGUGAUUUAGAAGGCCUUCGGGUUGUAAAAAUCUUUUGUAUAGGAAGAAAAUGACAGUACUAUACGAAUAAGGUCCGGCUAAUUACGUG